UACGUAGGGGGGCAAGCGUUAUCCGGAUUCAUUGGGUUUAAAGGGUGCGUAGGCGGAAUGAUAAGUCAGUGGUGAAAUCCUGCAGCUUAACUGCAGAACUGCCAUUGAUACUGUCAAUCUUGAGUACAUUUGAUGUGGGCGGAAUGUGUCAUGUAGCGGUGAAAUGCUUAGAUAUGACACAGAACACCGAUUGCGAAGGCAGCUCACAAAAACUGUAACUGACGCUGAGGCACGAAAGCGUGGGUAUCAAACAGG
rnacentral:rRNA from 1 species